rnacentral:rRNA from 1 species
UGGGGAAUAUUGCACAAUGGAGGGAACUCUGAUGCAGCGACGCCGCGUGAACGAAGAAGGCUUUCGAGUCGUAAAGUUCUUUUAUAUGGGAAGAUAAUGACGGUACCAUAAGAAAAAGCCCCGGCUAACUACGUGCCAGCAGCCGCGGUAAUACGUAGGGGGCUAGCGUUGUCCGGAAUCACUGUGCGUAAAGGGUUCGCAGGCGGAAAUGCAAGUCAGAUGUAAAAGGCAGUAGCUUAACUACUGUAAGCAUUUGAAACUGCAUAUCUUGAGAAGAGUAGAGGUAAGUGGAAUUUUUAGUGUAGCGGUGAAAUGCGUAGAUAUUAAAAAGAAUACCGGUGGCGAAGGCGACUUACUGGGCUCAUUCUGACGCUGAGGAACGAAAGCGUGGGUAGCAAACAGG